AGUAUUCAUAAACUUGUUCUGUAGUAAAAACCUGUCCUCGACGUCGAAGACGAAUUACCUUGUCUUGAAAGUAAGGAUUUUUACCAACAUACUCAAACACCACAUUCGCACUUCCUGAGGCAAGGUAUGCCCAUUCAGAAAUCACCAGGGAUUUACCGGUGGAGGAAUGAUUGGAGAUAACGGAUGUUGGUGAAUAAGGUGCAGGGGAUUUAAAAAGCGGAUUCGAUAUAAUUGGAACUUGAAAAUUACUACUAGCAACCGAUUCAUCUUGGGACUCUACACCAGAAGAAAGGGCUUUCAUGGAUGGAGGACGCGACAUAAUUGGAGUUGAAGGAGUAUGUGUGUCAACGGGAGAAUUUGUAACAGAAGAGCUAGCGGUACUAGCCAUAGGCGAAAGGCUUACCUGAGACGCUGAAGUAUGCAAAUUCUGAGCGAUGAGAGAAUUCAUGGCAUCAAUUUUUCCAGCUUCCCACUCUCUAUUUGAUAAAACAUCACCAGAUUUUGGAAGUUCUACGGGAGGACGGUUGUUGUUUACGGCAAUUAAGG